CAGCACCUCAAGUGGUCAGGAUGAUUAUUGGGCCUAAAGCAUCCGUAGCCGGCGCUGUAAGUUUUCGGUUAAAUCUGUACGCUCAACGUACAGGCUGCCGGGAAUACUGCAGCGCUAGGGAGUGGGAGAGGUAGACGGUACUCGGUAGGAAGGGGUAAAAUCCUUUGAUCUAUUGAUGACCACCUGUGGCGAAAGCGGUCUACCAGAACACGUCCGACGGUGAGGGAUGAAAGCUGGGGGAGCAAACCGGAUUAGAUACCCCAGUAGUCC
rnacentral:rRNA from 1 species